GUAUAAUGGUCGAUGAAUUUUUAGAGUUAGCUUGUUAUCGAAAAUUUCGAAAUAUAGUUUGAAAAUACCUAUUUUGACGUCCCGUAACAUUUGUUACGAUUAGCCAUUUCACGCACCGUUAACGACGUGCAAUACUAUGCCGCGAGUGUUUCAAUAUGAUAUUAAGAAUAUAAUAUUUCGACUUCGUUUGAUAUCCCGUAAUGAGCCUGAAAUUGAACACAAAAACAUAAGUUAAAAAAAAAAAGAUGAAACAUGUAGUAAACCUCUGUGCACGGAGGAUCAUGUGCGGGGAGUCCCCGUACAAGAGACUUGGGGGAAUACUAUUCAUUUGUGCCUUUUCACACGUGAUUUGCAAGCCGGUUCUUCUACGGUCAACAUUUUGGGAUAUAUGAGGGCUCGAAUGAAACACAUUCAUUCCUCUCUUGACAGCAAAGAAAGCUUUAUCUUGUUCGUUCUCAAAACUCACUCCUCACUAUAGCAAAGCAACCGAGCAAGGUGUGGUGGGGGAGUGGGAGGAAGACGACAUGACAGUUCUAUAUUUCUAUGUAUUUCAACUAAUUUUGCUAUUGGAUUUUAUUGGUUUGAUUAUGGUUUUUCAUGUGACCCUGAUGAGUGCUCUACACUCAUAAUAUUUAUGCUACCUAAUUUGUUAUUUUGUUACUCUUGAGAGUGCUUUAGAGCUUUUUAUUUUGUGUUUUGAUGUUGUAAUGUAGGUUGAUGAAAUUGAAAAAAAUAAGCAAAAGUUGGCGAAAUUGGAGAAAAUUGUCAAAUUGUAAGAGAUCCAAAGUUCGGGGACUAAAGCGCAAAUAUUGAAAAGUUGUGUUGAACCUCGCAAUGAAGAUCCGAGCAUGCUAAGAGUCAAUUGGAUGAAAAAAAGAUGUCAAAGGGAUCAAAUUUAGUCAAAAUAUAAUCACAAAUCAAUUUCCAAUCGAAAAGUUGUACUUUGGAAUUUCAGCCUCACAUUGAGACUCAUUUUUGACAUAGCAAAUGAUCAAAGCGGAGCUUUGAGUUAGCUUUCUAACGAGCUUUGAAUCACCUCAAUUGGAUAUCGGAUGAGAAAGUUAUGCUAAAAAUACUGAAGGUCGCGCAGAAGGAAUUUUUCACCUGAACCGGGCACCGUGGCGCCCAAGAUGGGCGUUGUGGCGCCAAUGAAUCCUAAUUUGACAGUAAGGGCAGUGCCGUGGCGCCGCCUAUGCGGGAAAAGGUAUUUUGAUAUUUUUGGAUUUCUUUCUAGACCCAUUCUAAUCCAAAAUCGUCCAACAUUUGAGGAGACUAUAAAUACUACCUAAAAGACCUAAUUAAGGGGGGAGAACGAGCAAGGAAAAUUGGAAG
rnacentral:lncRNA from 1 species